GCCAGUGGUGUGUGCCUGUAGUCCUAGCUACUGGGGAGGCUGAGGUGGGAGGAUCGCUUGAGCCCACGAGUUCUGGGCUAUAGCGCACUAUGCUGAUCGGGUAUCCACACUAAGGUAGGCAUCAAAAUGGUGACCUCCUGGAUGCGGGGACCACCAGGUUGUCUAAGAAGGGGUGAACCAGCCCAGGUCGGAAACAUAGCAGGUCAAAACUCCUGUGCUGAUCAGUAGUGGGAUUGUGCCUGUGAACAGUCACUGCACUCCAGCCUAGGCAACAUAGUGAAACCCCGUCUCA
rnacentral:SRP_RNA from 1 species